GCGUCGGUCGUGCAACGGUUUAGCACGCGUUCCCGGAAAGAGUGAAAUUUGGGUUCGAAUCUCAGCUGACGCA